AAGUCGUAACAAGGUUUCCGUAGGUGAACCUGCGGAAGGAUCAUUAACAAAUCUUUCUAGAGGGUCCAUGCCGUCAAGGUCAUGGGCUCUCGACAUAAACCCGAGGGCUUUCGAGCCCGAGGUAGUCGCCUCAAGUUCGGGAUCUCCCGAGCCUGAGGAGGCUGGCGGCUGACCCAGUCUGGGAAAGCCAAAACUAUAUCCACACCGUUUGUUUAUGUUUGACAUUGUCAUUUUUAACUAAAUGUAUAUACAACUUUUAACAAUGGAUCUCUUGGCUCUU
rnacentral:misc_RNA from 1 species